CACUGUUGUCUAUGCAACUCUUAUACACUUUGAUUUCUUUUGGAUUGACUCCUGCACACUGACUGGGCAUGUGCUAAACGUAAUGCUUUAAUGUGGACAGUGCAGGAGCAAACGCCCAAGACUUGUGGUUCUUUUCAUUUCCUCUAUGAACAGUUUAUGGCUCCAGAUCUCUCAAAUUGACAGCAUUAAUAAUUGCAAGUUCCCCCUUCUUGUUAUCUGUGUUGGGUUUGUAAAGCCUGGUUUUUUUUGGUAGCACGGGGGCCACAAAAAGAAGCUUCUGGAAUGUCCAAUAGAGCCAGUCCCUGGUGGGUCCAAAGAUGGGCGUGCUGUUGGCCAAGGCUGAGCCAAUUAUAAAUGGUAGUUAGGCCUCUGUGAUAACAUAUUUAAGAAGAAAUCAAAGCAAAGGUGGUGGCACAUUUUUAAUUCCAGCCAAAGAAGAACAGAGUGAGAACAUGUGAGAGGAAGAGCUCUACAGAAAUUGAGCCAUCUAACCUCACAGAGGCAUGACUCCUCCUGCAUCUGACUACUUUCAAUUGCAAGUUUAUUUAACACAACAGCUGACGCUUGCCAAAGGUUAAUGAAACCCAGGUUAAUCUGUACACAAACGGAAGACAACUGCUCAAGCUUACUAAAGUUUUUGCAAGACUUGAACAACAAAGACUAUACAAGAUUGUGCAUGAAUAGAUGCUGUAAUGUCAAGGUUGGAACCAGCCCACUCCUGGCGAGUCUCUAUCCUAGGAAAGUGUUUUGCUCAUAAUAGGCUGCCUGACACUCUGACCUUUAUCACAUUUUUCUUUCCUGUCACCUUCAGGAAGGGCAGCUGUGGUGCUGUUGAUGUAUUUCAUACAUAGACAAAUAAUUUCAGAAUUACUCUGAAACACUAAAAAAUAAGCUCUUCUCUUGAUCUUGCAACAUCUCUUUUUUGCGAUUUGUACUAAAAAUAAUUAAAAAAAAAAAAAAA